CGGGGGGCAUUAUUCGUAUUCGCAUCUUUAUUUUUUAUCAAUAAACUAUGUUUCAAUUAAAUAAAAUACUAAAUAAUUAAUUUAAUUUUUUAUUCUAAUAAUUCUGAUUAUAAUAAAUCAAAAGUAAAAACAUGAUAACGUAAGGGAAGAUAAUGACAUUACCUUAUUAAACAUUAGUGUUGUCCAAGUUCUGGUGCCAGAAGACUCGGCAAGGCCAGGUACACAAACGUUAAUCGUCUUAAAUAGGCGUAAAGGGUAAGUAGGCUGCUUUAUAAGUAACAACUUAAAUUUAGUUUAAUUAAUAAAAAAUAAAAAAUAAAAAAUAAAAAAUAAAAAAUAAAAAAUAAAAAAUAAAAAAUAAAAAAUAAAAAAUAAAAAAUAAAAAAUAAAAAAUAAAAAAUAAAAAAUAAAAAAUAAAAAAUUUUUUUAAUUAUAAUAAGUUAACAAUAAAGCUUGAAUCAUAUUGAAGGUAAAACAAUGCGUAAUGUAGGGGUAAAAUCUUAAGAUCUUACGUGGAGUUCUAAAAGUGCAAACUAUUAUCUAUUGAAUGAUUGACGCUGAGGAACGAAAGUGGGGACAGGGAAAAGGAUUAGAUACCCUUCCACCCCUCACUGUAAACGAUGAAUGGUAGCUAUUAGUUAUACGAUAAUUAGUGGCGAGGUUAACACGAUUACCAUUCCGCCUUGGUAGUACGAUCGCAAGGUUGAAAUCAAAAAAAUUAGUCGGUCUCGAAGCAAACGGAGUGGAGCAUGUUAUUUAAUUCAAUUAAUCCCGCACA
rnacentral:rRNA from 1 species